GACGAACGCUGGCGGCGUGCCUAAUACAUGCAAGUUGAGCGCUGAAGGUUGGUACUUGUACCAACUGGAUGAGCAGCGAACGGGUGAGUAACGCGUGGGGAAUCUGCCUUUGAGCGGGGGACAACAUUUGGAAACGAAUGCUAAUACCGCAUAAAAACUUUAAACACAAGUUUUAAGUUUGAAAGAUGCAAUUGCAUCACUCAAAGAUGGUCCCGCGUUGUAUUAGCUAGUUGGUGAGGUAAAGGCUCACCAAGGCGAUGAUACAUAGCCGACCUGAGAGGGUGAUCGGCCACAUUGGGACUGAGACACGGCCCAAACUCCUACGGGAGGCAGCAGUAGGGAAUCUUCGGCAAUGGACGAAAGUCUGACCGAGCAACGCCGCGUGAGUGAAGAAGGGUUUCGGAUCGUAAAACUCUGUUGGUAGAGAAGAACGUUGGUGAGAGUGGAAAGCUCAUCAAGUGACGGUAACUACCCAGAAAGGGACGGCUAACUACGUG
rnacentral:rRNA from 1 species